GCGCCUCAGAAGAAGAAGAAGAAGAAGAAGAAGAAGAAGAAGAAGAACGCACAGUAAACUUGCAGAGCAGCCGUUGGACUUCUUCGUUAGCUGUUAACAUUCCUAUAUAAGACAGCGAUAAAACCACGCGACUGUGUAGCUUUAGACUUAUACACGUCCUAGUUUUGUUGUUGACCGUUAGGUAGUUGAUCAUGAACGUGGCUAAAAGUGGUUAUCGUGUUUUCUCGGCCAACUCUACGCCCGCGUGCACAGAGCUCUCUAAGAAGAUUACUGAGCGUCUUGGAGUCGAGCUGGGGAAAUCUGUUGUUUACCAGGAGUCAAACAGAG